CUCUGCCUUUAGCAGAUUUUCCACCUGGUCUGUGCAGGAAAUCAACUUCUAUAUAGCAGCUCUUUCAUAAGGAAUAACAUACAUGAGUCUGUAAGUGACAGUUUUUCUUGGGUGGACAACAAUGUUAGUUACUUUUUAUGAUUAAUUGAUAAAUGUUUUGAUAUGGUGCCUGGGCUCUGAGUCAAAAAUCACUCUAGUUAGAUGAUCCAACACUUGGGAAGCUGAGCCAAUUACAGCUCAGGCACAGUGAAAACAAUUCUAAAAUAUUUGAGCCUAAAAAUGUGCAUAGUUGUUAAGGAAUCUUACACGUGGGUGUAUGGUGGUAUCCUGAAUUACAACUACUUGGUGCGCCAAUUUCUUGAGGAAUGCAGGGAAGUGCAGGGAUUCGAGACUCUUGCCUCUAUAUUUCAAAAGACUUGGGAAAACAGAAGAACCACAUGGACUCUUGUGGCUGGGCACGUGCUGAGGAAAACCAGACCGUGGGCCAAAAUGUACUUUUAGUCUCUUGGGUUCCACAAAUCCCUUUGCUUUUUUGGGAAGGUUUUAGGUUUCAAGUCUCCUUCCCUUGACUCCUAACCUCCUCUGAGCUUUCUCUUUUCUUUUUUUAGGCUCCAGAACUUACUUUCUAUACCAAGAUUCCUACUUGGUCCUUGGAUUUGCACCCUGACUCUAACCCCUAAUGGAUUUUUAAAUGAUUCAUGAGAAAUAGGACUUCAUCCUGUUGGUGGCUAUUGAUGAGGUUAGGGUGGACUCAGAGGUUGUGGGUGCAGUCCAGAAUUGGUACAGAUUAGAAAGAGCUCUUGGAGGUCCUCUAGAAGAAUAACCCACCUUGCCACCUUAUCAGGAGACAGAAAAAACACUUUGUAUUUUGCUUUCCAUGGGUGAGUGAAUACAGAGACAUUUUCUCAGUAGGAUUUUGGGGUCAUCAACUCAAAGACCAUUUGGAAAAUUUCCUAUUGCAGGUUGCUAGUGGCUUUGUGUGUGACACAGCUGCUCCCAGCAAAGUCAGGGAAAGAGAACAUCCAUCCCCUUUCCUGGUUUGGGUUCCCCAGCCUUCAGGAUCUACAAUGUGACAUGGAGGUUUUGAGGGAUGCAUGCCUGGAUUUCACCAGUGCCACUAGAGAUCUGGAAACUGAGAGGCAAAUCCUGAAUUUCAGAAAUCUCAGUGGUUAUUUGCUGCUCAUCAUAGAUCUCUGCAUUUUUCAUGCAAGGAUCUAAACUUGACCCCACACAUCUCAUUGUCUUCAAUGGAUUUUUAUUCCAAGGUCAAGAUCAGGAAUCACUUUAGAAAAAAUGAUGUCUAAUGAAUACAGCUACUGCUGGAGGCUCUUUGACAUCACCAGGGCCAUCAACCCCUGAAGGGCUUAGAUGUGGAAUCCACUGAAGAUGUUAGAAUAGACUUAGAUUUAGAUACUACUUCAUUUUCUUCUGACCCUUGACAGACCGUUGUGUCUAAAGAAGACAGUGAGCAGAGCUGAAGAAUGUGUUUACAAAUGGAACAGCAUCUUUCCCAUCCUUGUUUUACAGUGAAGAUCCAUAAAGGGGAAUGUUCCUUCCAGUCUGUUGUGUGCCUAAAAAUGCAACAUUUCCACUAAUUCUCCCUUUUAAGGUGCCAUUUGAAUGGCAUGAUACCCCCUUCCCACCCUCCCUCUGUCCUUGACACUCUGUUUGGAUCCUGGCUGCUGGAUCUGAACACACUCCUGCUUUCACUUUAUUUAACACUGGAGGAUUUCAUCGUUGUUGAUACGAAAGGAAAAUUUCUAGCAGCACACUGUAAGCUUUACUGCUCGUGACUUCUUAAUCAUGCAGAUUUUAUUUCAUGUUAAGCUAGCAACUGAACUCUUCUAAUAAACAGAGUAAAAAUCUAAUUAGGCUACUGGAGGGGAAUAGAAGAAUUUAUCCUCCUCCAGACACACAGACAUUAGGAAUUCUCCCUCAAACAUACACACAGGCUUCCUGGCAGCUGCCUCACUCAAAGAGUGGCUAAUGAUCAUAGUAAUUUGCACUUAGCUGAUACUGCAACGAGUCCCUCACACAUGGAAAAUAUACUUCUUUCAUGAGAUCAUCCAGGGCAGCAUGGCCUCGUGGAUUCUGCACAGAGAAAAAGAAAUCCCAAUUCCUAAUCCCAUGGCUCACACUACUUGCUGUGUGGUCUCUCCCUCUCAGUUUCUCCAUCUCUCUUAUCCGGCUCAUUCAUGGGAUUGUGGUGAUUACUCGGGCGUUUGUCUGUAAUGUGUUUCUAAAGCAGAGGCACAAUUAAAGUGCAGGAGCUGUGCUGUGAUUAGAGACUGAACAGCACCUCCAAAAUGCUUGCAGAGAAGAUUGACAUCCAACAUGAAUUUGGCUGAUUUUUUGUCCUCAUUGGGCUCAUAAUAACUUCAAGUGUUGCUGGUGAGAAAGAGCUCCAAAACCAUCAGGCCUUGGGGGAAGUUGACCCCAUGUGAGGGGGCCCAUCUUCCCACACAGAGGCCAUACAGCCAAAGUACACCCAGCAUGUCAGGGACAUCUCCAUGCACACAAUCUUUCCUGGCCUGCACACCCAUGGUCCAUCCAAAGAGGUGAUGCUCCCCAGGGAAGUGGUGGAGCCACCAUCCCUGGAAGUAUUAAAAAAAGGAGUGGAUGUGGCACUUUGUGAUAUGAUUUAGUGGACGUGGUGGUAUUGAGUGGUAUUGGAUUUUAUGAUCUUGGAGGUCUUUUCCAAUCUUAAUUAGUCUAUGUUUUUAUGAUACCAUUUCAAGUUUUUACCCCUUACAACCAAAAGCAGCUGAUCCAGCUGAUGGGUUCAGGCUUGGCCUCUCUGCUGAUUUGGACAGGGAUUAAUGUAUCGUGCAAGUGGCAGGGAGUCCUCCAGCAAAUUCCCUCAUUGUUCCCUGCAAAGGACAGCCCAGAUGUCCCACAGCAGCCCCAGCUUGACAUUGGGAACUAUGAGAUGUAUGUCCAGAAUUGGCUGUGCAAGUGUGGACACCAUGGAGGCUCCAGGAGAGAGAAAAGAAAGACAACCCACCCUUUGGUACACGCUUUGUGCCUCCUGCUGUGUUGGGAUCCAGAAGGAGAAACCUUUCCUCAGGACUGGGGCUCAAGACAACCCACUCCUGGCUGAAGCCAGAGCUCCACAGUCCAUGUGAAAUCCCACCUGCAAUUCUGCAACUGCUUGUAAAGAAGGAGUUGUAAAAGAAACCUGUGGAUGAUAACGAACAGAUUCUCAGCUGUGUCGAACCCUGGAGCACUGCUAUGGAAAUGUGAAGAGCUGCAGAGGUUCGACCUCUUUGAAAAUCUAAUCACUGAAUAUUUCUAGUCAGCUUCCUCUGCCAAAGGAAUAUGAAAUUUUCCAAGUCUGUGCCAAACUGUUCAUGAACUGUUUCUCAAGAAGAUUUGGAUUAUGUAACCAAUAAUGGUGGAACACCUCUUCACUUUCUAAAUUACAUCUGGCUGAGAUGAAUUUUUACGUGGAGAACACAACAAAAAUGUGAAAUACUAUGUUUGUGCUAAACUGCAGUUAUGACAUAUGAAAAUCUCUAUGGUAACAUGGCAUAACCUAAAGCAAUUGUGUGUUCACACAAGAGAGAUCCAACACCUUUGUCAUUUUGUUCUUUAUUAUUUCUCACGGAUACACUACUUUAAAGACUGAGGUAACUUCUCCAUUCUCCAACCAAAGGUGCAACCCUGAUUUAUAUCAGCUGUAAUCCUUGGCAAAGUAGUUAUCAGUUAAUUUCCUGCAUAAUUUCUCCAGAAACACACUGGAAGUGCAGCCUGACUUUUUUUGAUCUGGUUGAUGAGAAGAUCAACAUGAUGACCCAGCAAUGUGCACUUGCAGCCCAGAAAGUCAAACAUAUCCUGGACUGCAUCCAAAAGAAUUGUGACCAGCAGAUCAAGGGAGGGGAUUCUCCCCCUCUACCCCACUCUGAUGAGACCCCACCUGCAGAGCUGCCUGCACCUUGGGGGCUCUCAUCACAAAAAGGACAUGAAGCUGCUGGAGCAACUUCAGAGAAGGCCACGAAGAUGCUCCAAGGGCUGGACCCCCUCUGCUCUGGAGACAGGCUGGGAGAGAUGGGAGUGUUCCGCCUGGGGAGGAGAAGGCUCCAGGGAGACCUUGGAGACCCUUCCAGUGCCUAAAGGGGCUCCAGGAGAGUGGGAGAGGGACUUUGGACAAGGGCCUGGAGGGACAAGACAAGGGGGAACGGCUUCCCACUGACAGGGCAGGGUUAGAUGGGAUAUUGGGAAGAAAUUCUGAGCUGUGAGGGUGGUGAGGCCCUGGCACAGGUUGCCCAGAGAAAUGAUGUGUGCCCCAUCCCUGGAAGUGUCCAAGGCCAGGUUGGAUGGGGCUUGGAGCAACCUGGAAGAUGUCCCUUCCCUUAUCAGGGGGUGGCACUGGAUGAGCUUUAAAGUCCCUUCUAACCCACAUCAUUUAUGGUUCUAUACACAGAAAAUUAUUUAAACACUUGUUCAACUUCAAGCAAACAAUUAAACAUCUUUGAACUUCAGAUUGUGCCUGAGAGUUGUUAAAACAGGGCCUUGGGGGAAGGACCCACCUGGUUCGUGUGUUCACUCAAGAAGAUGAUCUUUGCAGGACCGUCCACGGACUGACCAGCUCCCAGCGAUAACAAUACCUCUUGUUGCUUCUUUUGGCAGGAAUUUUGCGAGUCUCUCUCGGAAGAAUUAGAUCACAGUCAGUCCCACCUUAACUACAUAUUUGCUCGCUGAAUAAACAGGAUGAAGUUGGCCCCAUGGUCAUGUCUGCUGGCAGAAUUUAGCACUUCCAGUCCUGUCAGAAGAUUCGCUUGUAAUGGAGAAGAGUAAAAUUGAUGAGGCCACGUUGUCCUGGCUCCAGAGCUGCUGAAGUGAAAGGAAAAAGUGGGAGAGAAACUCAGCCCUCCAGCCAGACAUGAAUAACAGGAGCAUGACACUGAGCACUUGAACAUAUCAGGAGGACAGAAGAAAAGCAGCGUUGCCCACCCAGAAUUAAAGAACAGAAGCAAAUAAUUAUCAUCAUGGAGCAAUUUGGCAGCAGUGGGGUUUCAUAAUCUGCUAAGCCACUUUACCUGCCUGAUUGUGAAAUAAUUCAGAUGACCUCAGCUUUUUUUUUUUAUUAUUACCAAGUAUUGCAAAUAUAUAUAUAUGUGUAUAUAUAUAUGUGUGUUGAUUUAUUUGUCUGAAAGCUGGGAAGAAAAAUAUGGAGGGAAUACUCUUGCCCUCCAUGGUUAUAGAGAUAAAUCAGCUUGUGCUUCACCUUAAGUAAAUGUUCUUUAAUGUGUUAUAAAAAUGCCUGUCCAUCCAGUAAAGGAUUUAACCUUAAAAUUAAUUAUUAAUAUUGGAAAAUAGACAGUGAAAACAGUUUAAAUCAUGAGCAAGUAGUACCACCCUCGAUUCCCACAGCAGAAAGGACAUCUCCAGCAGGAAAAUGUAGUUCAGGUUUUAUGCUUAGAAAGUUGUAGGAUUCAGGGCAUUUUAUGCUGAGCUUUGUGCAGUGGGUACCCCUUUGACAAUACUAUUUCACUCAGAAAAUUCCCCAAAUUGGGCUGGAACCAGCUGAUCUCACAUGAUCCAUGAAGAACUUUCAUACAAUAUCAAUUCAUGCAGCGCUUCUCUGUCAGCCUUUUUUUAGAGUGGGAAAAAUUAUCCAUAUCCGUAGAUAUAAUUCAGAUUUUUUUCAUAAUUAAAAAUAGCAGUUAAAAAAAGGGUUUCUAACCUUCAAAUAAAACCCAAUUUUGGAUGUGUGUACUUUAUUCAUACCCAGCCUGUACCUCCCCUUCUUUUCCAGUGAUAGAAUAUAAGUAAAGCUUUAAGAGUGAGGGUCACCCAAAAACAAAUAUUGAAAAGAAUUAUGGAGAGAUCAGACCAGUAAGAAAUUUCUCCCCUUAUUUCAAUGUAAAGAAAAAACUGAACAUAUUCAAAAGAACAUAUGAAUGCUCAAUAUUUUUUUCUAACAAUUUCUGUUUGUCCUUUCUUGUGUACCUUAGUAUUGAUUCCCAGUAAUGAGGCUCCUGCUGAUUUCACUGAGUUUUGGAUUAAAUUCCUGGGCAUGAUUUGAGCCCAUGAUCUAAUGACAAAAAACUGGAGAGCCCACUCCUUUUCCCUGAUGCAGUUUGCCAGUAUAUUAUACUGGAGAGAUGCAACAUUUUUCCCCUCUGAAUAAUUCCUAUAGAACUUUGAGGAGUCUAAUUUUUCUCCCUUUCUCACCGAUUGCAUCAGUCCAUUUUACAGUGUCUUCAUAUAUUUUAGAUUGCAAGGAAAAAAAUGGACUGGAAAACAGCAGAUCUACUUUUUUUUUAUUUUUGGGGAAUGUUUCUGAUAUUUGGGUUUGGGGUAGACUGUCAAAAGCAGGCUUUUGCAUCGUUUCCUGGAGCAUUUCCUCACUCCUUUGCAGCUCGUUAAGCUCCAUUUUUUGUUUUUCUUGGGGGUUUUUCAGCCCAUCUACGGGGCAUCUCAGAGGUCUCCACAGCUCCAAAUGUCAGCUGAAAAAACAAGCACUCUCUUUUUAGCUCCUGCAGUUGAUGCAAGACGCAUCAGGACUCAGGGAAAAGGGGGAAAAAAGGGAAAACCUGCUGCAUUUGGAGUUAGGAGCAACUGCUACCGGGGGGUGUCCUAGUCCUCCUCCCCUUCCAGGCUCUGGAGAACAUCAGCCAAGGUGACCUCAGCGACAGUCCCUCUCUGCUCUCCCCAGGUCUCUGCUCUGCUUAAUCCUGUCAGAAAAGUCUCCAGCAAACAUUUGUAAUUGCAGGCAGAAAGAACACUGCUGUCUUUAUUUUUCCUAACUUGACAUCUAUCAAAUUUAGUUUAAGUGUUCCCCUGGGUCAGCCGAGUUGCUGAGCUAUAAACUAAAAAUAAUUAAAAUAAAAUAUUAAAAAAACCUCAAGCCCUGCUUGCCAGGAGCUAUCGUUGGGAGUUAACAGCUCUCAAUCAUGAAUUUCAGAGUUGGAGGAGCUGAAAUAAGAGAGGCAGGUUUAAUGCAACAGAAGACUGAAAUUCUUUGAUAUUUUGAUGCUGCAGGCUUGAUUCUUGCACUUCAGGACAAAACUGGUUUCUGUAACAGGCACUGAGAAUUUAAAUGCAUUUUUUUUUAUUUAAUACUACAGUUAAUAUAAAUUUUAUAACAAAAAGGAAAGGCAGGGCAAGGUAGAAAGAAUCUUUCUGCCGAAUAUUUCAGAUAAUCAAAACCUCACCCUGACAAUUCCUCUAAGGCAGAAAUCACCUUCUCAUGCUAUAAAAGAUGACUCUGCCAAUUUAUUGACCCCCAGCUGACGGAUCAGCUCUCCCCAAAAUUGGAAAUUCUAGUUACAAUGACUUCAAUUUUGGCUUAAACCCGAGCAGACAGACAGCAUGUUCCCAGACUGGUCACAUUCAUAAAUGUCAUAAAAAACAUACUUGUUCUAUGACACGCACGAAAUAAAAUUCUCAAGCAAGACAUCUCUAACCAGAAAGGCAUGAAACAAAAAUCUCCAACCACGUGACAGGGCACCAGGGCUGCUAAGAAUGGUAUUUUGACACUGGUGGAAGUAAAACCGAAAUAAAACUUCUCCAGGCAUAACUUGAACGUUGGGUUUAUUAUUUUUGUUAUUCUUAGAGCUCAUAGAAACCAUGUUGGGGAAGAGAGGGAAAAAAAAAAUAAAAUCGGUCAAAACAACGGUCGAAAUUUUUGUGUGAGUUGUUCCAGGGCAAAUUUAAAGAGAAAAAAAAUUAAGAAUCACGUUCAGGGGAGCUGAGCAGAGUCAAACAUUUAGGGGUGCAGCCAAAGAAUUAACCUGGGUUGUCUAAACGAGUCUGUGCUUUUGCUUUUUAUUAUGUAUCUUCUGCACUUUAUGUGGUCAUUUUUACACCAAGUGAAAAAAUAUAUAUAAGUUCAUCUUAUCUUUUUCGUUGAUGUUAGAAUUCAAAAACACUCCUGGAAAACUAAUAUUUUUAGAAAAAAAAAGCUGGCAUUACCAAUACUUUUAUAUUUCUUUUCAAAAGUUUGUGAUUUCUUAUUUCUGCUAACACCGUUAAAUACAACAGGAUUCUCUAUUUGAAGAUGCUAAAGCCAAAAAAUGGAGUGCAUUGCCUGCACUUAACCUUCAAAAACAGAAAACUGAUCCUUUCAAGCCCUACAAAAUAGGAAUAAUUUAAAUUUUUGUAAGUGUGACACUGCAACGAGCUCUAAAUCAAAACCAGACAUAAUAUCAUUGCUCUGUUUUUGUCAAAAAUGCUGGAAAACUCCCUCCUCAGCUUUAAAUUGAGGCUGAAUGUCACCUCCAAGAGGAUCUUCUUGGAUAUAAAUUGCCUCCCUUUAGAUGGGGCCAAGCUGCCUUGCAAAAGGGAUGCCCUGGAGUGGAGAGGACUAUGCCCUGGGAUGGUCUGCUCCACAACUUUCCAAGGAUUUGGAAGUGAAAUGUGCUCCAGAGAACAGACUAGAGGUGGUUGGGAAUUUUCCAAGGUACUUCUUUGGCAGAGUGUCACAGAAUGGCAAUUUGUUGAAGCCGAAACCAUUCCCAAGGGAAGGUCUGUCUGUCUGCACAAAGCUCCCAACCCAGAGGGAAAAGCAAAAUCAGCAAAGCAAGUAAGAAAACACAAAAUAAAAAAAGAGGAGGAAUAAAGAGUGGUUAGAGAAACUGCCCCUUUCUGAUAAUCCUGCAGGAAAAGGCUCAGGGGUCUGGCUUGACGUGAUUUGCCUUUGUCACUGUAAACAACAAUUUAUGCAGAAGGUUUAUUCAGAACAGAAUUACAAAGUCAAAGUGGAAGAGAACAACAGAAAAGAAAUUUGCUCCGUCUGGUCUCCUGAAAUGAACCAUUCCUGCACUCUUUGAAAUUAUGAUUUUUAUUCUGUUUCUGAGGUGUUAGUACUUAUUGCCAAGAAUUGCUAAAACACAACAUAAAAUCUGAUUGAUUCAAAAUACCUGAUUCAGCCACUGGUACAUGAUUAAGCAACUUAUACCUGCAGGAAAUUGUCUGUCAAACCUGUUCUUAUACUGCUCCCUUUAUAAGGCUCUUUUUCAUAAAAUCUCCCUGCUUUUUGGUCAACUUCUCAAAGAACCAAACACAAGAAACCCAAAUUAUUUCACAGCUUUUUAGGCACAGUGAGAAAGAAGAAGCAAUUCCCUAUUAGAACUUAUAAGAGCUGCCUCAAGAAUGGAUUUCCUGAGUUAGUUACCUUAGAAUAGGGUAAAGUGACUUUAUAAUAAUGCCAGAGGGUAUUUUGAGGGAGCAGAUGCUGCUGUUUCACCUUUUUUAUGGGCAUAACAGAAAGUUUAUGGUUCAGUCACGACACGCUUGCUCUGCGGUGAGGAAUUAUGACCUGGCUGUCCUUUGCCACUAAUUUCACUGAGAUGUUUUCUGUCCUCUGGGACCCUGCCUUCCAUUUCUUGAAGGAGAAGAAAAAUAAAAUCAGGCUGAAGUGAACAUGCACAUGGUAAAAUCAGACUCGAUACAAGUACAACCCUCCUGAUACGUGGGAUAAUCACUCCUUUUUAUAUCAGAGCUGGUUUUGGUCUUGUGUAGGUUGAAUCCAUUUGCUACAGCCCUGACAUAAAUCAGGCAGUAAAGAUGUGUGAGUUAAAGGGUUGGUCCUGCAAGCUGGGAGGAUGGAGACCUUUAGUGGAGGUGGGACAUGCAGAAAUGGGAUUGCACAGACCAUGAAGGCGGCUGGACAUCUAGAAACAAGUAUAAUAUCCUGACAACUGUAAAUAUUGACUUAUUACAGCUGUAACUUGGCUUAAGCCAGGUCUGGGAUGAGUUUAACCCCUGGAUCAGCCAAAUGGGCUUUAAGCAGCUCUUUAUCCCAGGGGGAGCACCUGACCUUUGGUGAAUGCUGUCACCAAAGUUGUAUUUGAGCACCUGAGCCUCAAUGAGUGUUGUCACCCACAAGGUGUUUUUCUCUCUCUUUGUAUCCCACACUCAGUGGAAGGAAGAGCCAGGACUUGCCAUCUCUCAGCAUUCACAUGCAAAAAGGAGGCAGAUUUUAGGGUCUCCUUCCUGAAGAAACCUUCUAUUUCCUUUCACCCAAAUAUUCCUUCUCCCUUGUUAUCCGCACCCCAGUUCUUCCCUUACCUCUGGCCUGGAGAGGGAGAAAACAGACAGAAAGAAAAGAAAAGAGAGAAAUACACUGCCUGGAUUGGAAAAGUCAUCUUUUCCCAGGAGCAGCGUAAUAAUGUUAAUGGAAGGGAGAACGGGAAAGAGGAAAUGUUUCGCUAACGUGGAGAAUUUCUGGCCUGGGUUCUUUCUGAGGCCUGUUUGUCAGGGGGAAAAGGAAAUUGGUGGCUGGAUGAAAUAUGAGCUGAUGCAGCUGCAAUGCCUUUAAAUACAAGCUUUUUUAGGCACACUGGUGCUUCAGUUUGGGGAUAUAAGCAGAUGCUGAAUGCCUUUCCCUACUUCACAUGGGGCCUUUGCGUGCUGUGGUUUUAAGGCCAGUGUUCAGGUGAUAAAAAAAAAAAAAGGAGGGGGGGAAUGAAAUGUCAUUUUUGGAGAGGCAAAAAAUACUUCAGGCUCUUUGGCGUGUAAGUCAUAAAGGGCUUUUUGUGCACGGGUAGUCAGUGCAGUGUCAAGAGAAAUCACUUGCACAAGGUGGAGUAACACUAUCUGAAAUUAAAUUCUGGCCUCCAUUUACAAGUAACACUUUAAGGUUAAAAAAAAAUAAAGUAAAAGCUUUUUCUUUCCAAGAAAUUGAAGAGAACUAAGAGACGCCCCCUCCUCUCCUCCAAAAACACACCCCUGGUGUUCUUGCCAUCCAUAACAUGGCAGCCCCAAGCAUAAGGUAAUUAGCAGAGUUCAUCAGCCAGCCCUAAUGAGCACGCUGUGUAUGGUGGGGGGAAACCUGGCUGGAGGUUUAGAGCUGCUCUGAUCUGAAAGGGUUUGAACUGAAAAGGUUUGAACUCUCGUGCUACGGCUUUCCAGGCUCUUUGAGCCUGAUUCCUAUUUACACUAAGUUUCCUCAGCAUAAAGGGGCCUUCAAGUGGGCAUGCAGUGAAGGAAUAUUUCAAGGCAAGGAGCAUGCAGAGCAGCUCUGGCUGCCCUCCUUGCACCUUCCUUGGAACAAGCCCCUCACUGUUUUCUUAGGAGGGUGAAGUGCCAGAUGUAGCUCCAGUCCGAGGUGGAGGAGAAAGGCUCCUGCUCUUAGUCCUGUUGAAGCUCUUUUGCAGUGUGUUGCUAUAUCUCAAGGACGUAAAUAAUUGCUUAUGAUCUUUUUUCUAGAUCUGCUUUUUAUUCCUGCUCCUGGAGUUCUGAUUUUUUACUCUUUCUCUAUCAAAAAUUCACAUCAGGUUGGUCAUCCAGUGUGAAAACUCUGCUGACACACUCUGGAGAUGUCAUUGAAAUAUAAAUAGCAAAUAAAUGAUUAAAAAUAUUUCAUCCCCUUUGAAUGAUUGCUUCAGAAUAUUAGGAUUAUUCGAACCUGGGAGACCUCCUUGGCUCAUUCCUGGCUGGGACCUUUAAUAUAUUUUUAAAUGCCAGUCCCUGUUCCUCACUCCUAAGGAAAUUAAGGCACAUUAAACACGCUGCAAAAUCUGGCUUUUUGUCCUAAGAGAGUCCCACAAUUUUCUGUGACAAUAUUUAUGAACUCAGAUUCUCAUCUAGUCCACCAAAGUCCCUGAAGAAAAUGUUUCUUACUAUUUGUACCUGCCCCUUUGCCAAGCAAAGAUCUUUCAGACCGUGGAAUAAUCUCCCAAAAGAUGUAUUGGAAACCUGGUUUGGCCUGCUCAGUGUAGCAGGUUGUCAUUUUUAGAACUAAUUAUUUUUAACAGAAAUGGUCUUUACCCCAAAAAAACUUUUUAUACUUUAUUUCUUUCCACAUUUUCAUAAUGUCUACUGAAGGGUUUUGCUAUGACUUGCUUACCAAAAACGUUUCAAUAUUUCAUUUUAAUCCAAUAACCAUUUCAGAAAGAAAACGAAUCUGUUUCAAAGCAUUAUGAUUUCUAAAAGGAUCUAUUUUGACCUCAGAAUAUUGAAACUCAGAGUAAUUGCAAACACAGGUUUUCAACAAUCAAGUUUAUUUUCUCUGCAGCAAACCUCACCCAUAUGCCUGCAGGGAAUAGCUGCAUUUGCCAAAUCCAACUUUUGGUGCACAGAAGAAGUGGGAUGUAUAAAUAGAAAGUGUAAGCUUUUGGAUAUACAAAAUGGGGUUGUAAUUUAAGGCCUCCCAGCCGGUGGCAACAAUUGUCCAUGUCUUGUGGGGUGUCAAUUUUCCCUCUUCUCUUUACUUGGCUCAGCAAGUCGCCUUCUGAGAGCAGAGUUUAAAGUCUUGGCUUGUGCCUCCUCUGUCUUCAAUCUCACAUCGAGUCGCUGUCGUCCCAGGGAGAUGCAGGAGCCUCUCCACUAAUCCUGUGCUCCAAUAUCCAGGCCUGUGGUGGGAUACUAAAAAAAAAAAAAAAAAAGGAAAAAAAAGGGGAAAAAAAAAAAAAACAACAAACAAAAAAGCUUUCCUAAAUGAUCUACCAAAUUACACAUUAUUUCACUUGACAAACAAAAACGCUCUUGUGGUUCACAGGACGAAUCAUGUACAUCAUAAUUUUGACAGCAAGUUCUGAGGCUGAACUGGCUCUUUAAACAAUUUCCCUGUGUAUGCAGUGCUGUUCCAGUUCAGUGAGAGCAUAUGGCAAACACAGAAACUGCACUUACUGAUGCCAGGGCAUGACCAAAAUCUAUAAUAAUGUUGUUUACUUUCACCAGCUCUGCGAGGAAGAAUGUGGCCUCAUGCACUGAAACGACCUCAGAAGAGUCACACUUUUGCUUUGUCAAUAAUUUACUCAAAACACACUUUUUCCCUUAGAAACAUAAGGACCCAAGACACUGCAGGAACUGAGUCAAACUCUUCCAUAGAGUCUCCUGGAGAAAACUUAAGGAAAUUCUCUCCAUGACGUUGGUGAGAGUAGAGGGAGGCGGGAGACGAGCACAGCUUUUGGAGCACCCUUGGCUUACUCUCUUUUUGCUGUUGUCAUUUCUGAUAAAAAUCAGACUAUUUCAAAGUCUUUACGGACAGAGCUCUGCCAGCUUCCUUCUCCCACUAAAUUGGCCGUUCCUGAGCGCUGCCAGGAAAGAACAUAUUUCAGCAUCUCAGCGCUGCGUGGUCUGGCAGGAGAGCAUUGGGAGGCUGAGGGGGUUGGCCACUCCUCUGCAGAAGGUUGUAACACCCCGUGCUCAAGGGGGUUUUCCUCGACACUUUUGUCAGGCACUAAAGCUGCCCUGGUGAUGUGGAGCCACAGGACAGUGCAGGCUUUGAAACGGAGGAAUAAACAAACUCAACUGGCUGCCUUCGGAAACUCCAGCUCUCGCAGAAAUAACAUCCUUCUUCACAGCAAACUCAGAGUGUCAACAGGAGAAGAGUCCUCAUUUCACUCUGCUUUGAAACAUCCUCAGGAAAGAAGAGGGACAGCCUGAAGGGAUGGGAUCUCCUAAAUAAAUGUAUUGAGGGAACAAGAUUCGAGGAAUUUUAGUGACUAUUCCUUCAAUAGCUCAGAUAAAUUUUAAAUGGCAGCAACUGCAAAGAUUAAUGUUUUAGGAGAUGCCAUGUAAAUGGAAAUGCAUAAAGUAGAUUCCCAGUUGCCUGGAAAGCACCUGGACAUAGAUUUGAAGCAUCAGAGUCUUAAAUCUUUGAGGAGCUGAGCUGCAUUAACUUCCACUGCAGGCACUGAGAAACAGGACUCUGCAUCUGAGGGCACAUUGCUUAAAAUCAACAUUACCUCUGCUGCAGACGGUGUUUGUACAAGGCUGAAGCAGGAUAACCUAUUGGUGGAAUCAUAAAUAUUUAUUUAUGGAAGAAGAGAAGUCACUAAUUUACGUUUCCUCCCUUUUACAGUUCCUAAUUCACAGUGUCCUCUCCCAUUUCUUAGUCACCAGAGCUAUGUAGUGUAGGCACAUGUAAACAACUGAUAAAAAUUUGAGAAACUAAUAAACUCAGUACCCAAGCAGAAACAAGAUAUUUUUCCAGCAGUUAAAACUCAAUUACAGUUGAGUCACAUGUUCACUCUACUCAAUAGCUCAUAAAAUGGGCAAUGAACUCACCAGGUUCUCAAGCGUUGGACGGAUGAGAGAAGGUACCAGAAGAUGAAAUACCAGAGAGGCUGAAGCCUUUGGGAUUUACUGCCUGAGGUUUGAUUGUCUCUGGGUGGAGGCAGAGCUGUGCUAGGCUAAAAAGCCCAGCUGGGUUCUGCCUGGAUCUGCAAGGAGUUGAAGUGAGUCUGCAAGAAAAUAGAGCAUCCACAAAUAUUCAAGAGUUGAUUUGCAUGUCUGUUUUGAUCUAGGGAGGGGUAGAUGUUACAUGAGCAUGGAAAAGUCCCAAGGCAAUCCAAGGGUUUAGUCACCAGCAGUUCCACACAUAAAAACCCCCAAAACCAAAAUUAAGAAUUAGCUGCAAAUAGACAUUUACCAAUUUGCCAGAAGGAGAGAAGUUUAUAAAUCUUUGCAGCUGUUGCACUGCAGGAACAAUUCCUUUCAGGAACUGGGGCAGAUACCCACGUUUAUGACACAUCAAAGAGCAAGAUCCCAAAGGCCAAAGAAGGGACUGAAAUUUGCUCAUUAGGGUAACAUUUCCAGGUACCAUAAGCAAAAGCCCAGUGAACAGAUUUUGUUGGAGGCACUGGAGUGUGAGUGGAUCCACAUCACACCAUUCUACUCAUCUUGGAGCCAACCCAAACGUGGAGAUUUCCACCCCCAGCCCCCCAAAGUAUUGCUCAAUGGUUAGUUUUGAUUUCUGCGUGUGAUAUGUUCCUGGCUGGGACAGGGCCACUACUAAUAAC